CGGAAAUGAUGAAAUAGAGAUGCUUGGGUGUUGAAUGUUGCGUGACUGAAAAUUUUAAUAUUUAAUUCUUCUAGUUAAAUAUUUUAGUUAGAUAAUAGAGUGUGUGUGUGCGUGUGUGUGCUUGUGGUGGCUAUGGAAAGGGGGCACUGAAUGGUGAUGCUGAUAUUGGAGUGCAUCUGAGGCUGUUGUAGAAAAUAACAUGGGUUGUUGAUUACAACAUUGCCUGUGAUUAUAACCCAAGAACAGCUCACCUAACUAGCCUGGCACCCUGAAAAUCUCUAACAGGUUCAGUAUACAUGAUCCUGUGAUCUGAUCCAA
ensembl:scaRNA SCARNA7 small Cajal body-specific RNA 7